AGGAUCUUGGAGAUCUGGUGACCGCCCCCUCGCACUGAAGCGGCUAAAGGCAGACCAUGGACUAGACCCGCCGGAGGGGCUGGCACUGCCCCCACCCCCUCUGCCAGCCGACGCCACUUGCUAAAAACAGCCGGGCCCGGGGCCUUUCAGGCCACCCCUCCAGGCCCGGGCAGGUAUUAGAGGCCGAAGCUGGGCCAGGCGAGCUGGACACCAUGCUGUUCACAGAGACCGCCCACUUCGUGGUGAAUUUCCUUCUGUCCCGGUGGAAGCACCAGUGGCAGAAUAUUAACUACCAACUCCUGGGCAAGAGGAAGAGCCAUCUGGUUCCCCUGCGCCCGUGAGAGCGAAUGUGAGGAAACAGGCUCCAGGUUCAUCACAUGGUGGUCCCAAGGCCGACUUGUGCAAGCCAGGAUGACAGGAGGACGGCGUGGGAGCACUGCUCAAUCCCGUAGCCCUUCCCUGUGGCUGAAGAUGAUCCACCUUCGCCCUGUCUCCUGAGGUCUCCGUGUUUCUGCCCUUCACGGCCCAAAUAAAGCAGCUUUUGCCUCUCUCUGGCCCUCUCCACUUUGCAGGGUGAUGAUCUCAGUUCCUUCCAUUCGCAUACACUGUUAGACUGAACCCAAAGGCUGGGAGGGCAUCUGCUGCCACCCCUGACCCUUCCACUGCCCCCAUCUCCCCCGUGAACCCCCCAGUGGGAUAGCCUAGAUGACCCAGACCUGGCUCCUGCUCUCUAGACUCUCGCUGUGCCAUAGAAAGAGAAAGGCAGAGACAUACACUAGCUCAGUAAAGUGCCACAGGAGAGUGAUAUUGUUUGGGGCACAGUGAGUCCUCUGGUGAGUGAGGAAAGCCUUCAGGAAGGGUCUUGAGCUGAAUCUGGACAAGUGGGCAGGCACUGGGUAGGCAUAAGUAGCGCUCCAGGCAGAUUUGGCAGCA
rnacentral:lncRNA from 1 species